rnacentral:rRNA from 1 species
GGUUAAGCGAAUAAGCGUACACGGUGGAUGCCUAGGCAAUCAGAGGCGAUGAAGGACGUGCUAAUCUGCGAAAAGCGUCGGUAAGGUGAUAUGAACCGUUAUACCCGACGAUAUCCGAAUGGGGAAACCCAGUAUCCAAUGGAUACUAUCAUUAACUGAAUCCAUAGGUUAAUGAGGCGAACCGGGAGAACUGAAACAUCUCAGUACCCCGAGGAAAAGAAAUCAACCGAGAUUCCCCUAGUAGCGGCGAGCGAACGGGGAGCAGCCCAGAGUCUUAAUCAAUAGCAGUGUCAGGAGAACGGUCUGGAAAGUCCGGCAGUAAAGGGUGAUAGCCCCGUAUCUGAAGAUGCUGUUAUUGUGAA